rnacentral:rRNA from 1 species
UACGUAGGGGGCAAGCGUUGUCCGGAUUUAUUGGGCGUAAAGAGCGUGUAGGCGGCUUGGUAGGUCUCGCGUCAAAACCUGAGGCUCAACCUCAGUUCGCGUGGGAAACCACCUAGCUAGAGUCCGGAAGAGGAGAACGGAAUUCCCAGUGUAGCGGUGAAAUGCGCAGAUAUUGGGAAGAACACCAGUGGCGAAGGCGGUUCUCUGGGACGGUACUGACGCUGAGACACGAAAGCGUGGGGAGCGAACAGG